GACAAAGAUAAACAUUUUUACUUCCUUUUGUUGAUAUUGCUCUUGGUGGGAAAACUUCUGAGAACUGGGGAAGUUUUACUUUCAUUUGAGAAAUGUUUAUCGAGCACCUGUUUGUUGCGGACACUGGGCUAGAAGCUGGCACAUGGUGUAAAGAAGGCAGACACGGUCUCUGACCUUGAGGAAUUUCCAGUCAGGAGGUGGGUCAGAAAGCAUCUUGCUGUGAUUUACUGACAUGGACUUUGGAUUCCAAUCAUAUUGUGUCUUAAAUACUUCAACAAUCCCUAAGGCCAAACUGGGGGAGAGAACUAGUUAAGCUCUUCCUUUUCUUGGAUGAUGGACUUGGUCCCAUGGCUAUGGUGGAGAUCUCUGGAUGCUCUUUGUUAAGUGCUGGUUGGAACUUAAAUAAACAGAUUA